GAUCUCCUUCUUGUGCCUAUCCUC
rnacentral:siRNA from 1 species